rnacentral:tmRNA from 1 species
UCCCUGGCAUUCGCGUGCGCCAUGUGAUAGAAUGGCCUCGCCGCUCUCGGGCGGCUAUGGCGAUAAACGCACUGUGAAAUAGACGCUACGGACCCGGGGGCAGUACCCGGCGCCUCCACCAAAUCUCAGUCUUAGGGGGGCGAUUCAGGCUCGACGUGCGUGAUAAAGACAGACGCUUUUGCUCGGCAUGGUACCACCGCAUCGGGCCAUACUCACAAAUGCCAACGACAACGUUGAGCACGAGGUCCGCAUGGCCGCCUAACCCUUCGAAUGAAGGUAGUAAGUGGUAAGCGUAACUCGCGGUUCGGGGGGCACCGGGCAACAGAAGCCCCCCACU